rnacentral:rRNA from 1 species
GGAGGAAAAGAAACUAACAAGGAUUCCCCUAGUAGCGGCGAGCGAAGCGGGAAGAGCCCGGGAUGAAAAUCUCUUCGGAGAAUUGUAUUCUGAGCAUCUUUGGGUGGUCAGUGUGGGUAAGUCAUCUGAAAAGAUGUGCCGUGGAGGGUGAAAGCCCCGUCCAGCCUGCACAGGAUCCAUCCGUACAAAGAUGUUUCAACCGAGUCGGGUAGAUUGGGAAUUCUGCUCUAAGAUUGGUGGUAAAUCUCAUCAAAGGCUAAAUACUUGUGGGAGACCGAUAGCAAACAAGUACCGUGAGGGAAAGUUUAAAAGAACUUUGAAAAGAGAGUGAAAAGCGCUUGAAACCGUCACGAGGGAAGCGUAUUGCACGAGUGAUAGUGUUUGUUGUUCAGCUUGUCUUAAUUUAUUUUAAGGCUUGUGUAUUCAAUGUUCACUGCGUAAGCAUGGCUGGUUGGAGUGUGAUUUUCACACUUGUAGCUGGUGAGGGCUCCCUGUUUAUCGGGUGAGGAUGUUUGCGACAUGUUGCGGUACGACCCGUCUUGAAACACGGACCAAGGAGUCUAGCAUGUCUGCGAGUCGAAGGAUUUUUUUUACAAGUCCAUGGGCGGAGUGAAAGCGAAAGUUUAAUUAAAACAAUUUGUGGAGGCGUUGCGUUUUUAACAAAAUGUCCUACCUUGAGCACAUAUGCUAGGACCCGAAAGAUGGUGAACUAUGCUGGAGUAGGGCAAAGCCAGAGGAAACUCUGGUGGAGGCUCGUAGCGAUGCUGACGUGCAAAUCGCUCGUCGAACUUGAGUAUAGGGGCGAAAGACUAAUCGAACCAUCUAGUAGCUGGUUCCCUCCGAAGUUUCUCUCAGGAGAGCGGGCCGUCAAUUUUUUUUUAUGUUUGUUGUUUUGUGUGGUAAAGCGAAUGAUUAGUGCAUCUCGGGGCCGAAGGCCUCGAGGUAAUUCUCAAACAUUUAAAUGCGCAAGGGUGUGGCUGCUUUUUUAAUUUUUUAAAUUUGAGCCCUACACUUUUAAAAACGACGGCCCUGUGGGCCACUUUUGGUAAGCAGAACUGGCGAUAAGGGAUGAACCCUAAGCGUGGUUAAGGCGCCCUAAUUCUCCGCUUCUAGACCCCACAAAAGGUGUUGAUUCAUAUAGACAGCAGGACGGUGGCCAUGGAAGUCGGAACCGCUAAGGAGUGUGUAACAACUCACCUGCCGAAUGAUUAGCCCUGAAAAUGGAUGGCGCUCAAGCGGAGAGCCGACACCACGCCGUUUGGGCGAGGUAAUUUUUGUCUGAAUGAGUAGGAGGGCGUAUCGGUCAGUGUAGAAGGCGUUGGUGCAAACCUCGCUGGAGCGGCCGUUAGUGCAGAUCUUGGUGGUAGUAGCAAAUAUUCAAGCGAGAUCCUUGAAGGGUGAAGUGGGGAAGGGUUCCACGCGAACAUUGUUUGGGCGUGGAGUGAGUCGUUCCUAAGUCGAGUGGCAAUUGCUAAGUAUCGGCGAAAGGGAAGCAGGUUAAAAUUCCUGCGCACGGAUGUAGACUAGCGGCGACGCGAUCAGCGGUGGAGAUGUUGGCGAGCUCACUGGGCAGAGUUUUCUUUUCUGUUUGACCUGCAUUGUGCUGUGUGGAAUCCGAUUAUCGGGAGAAACACGCACGGCGACGGGCAGAGCGUCGGAAUUUUUUCGGCGUCCGGUUCGAGCACGACGACCCUUGAAAAUCCACCUGCGAUAAUAAAUCUACGCUGUGACGUACCGAUAACCGCAUCAGGUCCCCAAGGUGAACAGCCUCUAUCCAAUAUGAACAAUGCAGGUAAGGGAAGUCGGCAAAAUAGAUCCGUAACUUUGGGAAAAGGGUUGGCUCUAGUGGGGUGGAGGUUUUUUUGUUUCUUCGGAUCGAAAAGGGAGCGUUUCUGUGCUUGAGACUGGGCGAUUACUUGAGGCUUAUUUGGUAUUAUUUGGGCUGAAUGGAGGAGCGGGUUUUUGGGUCGUGUGUUGCAUGGUUUGCUUUCGGGUCGAUUGUGUGCAUGUUUCUUGAUUUCCUUCUUUUUUGUUCUUUGUCUCAUUUUUUAUUUGCUAGGCAGUGGGUUUUUGCUCGGUUUUUUGUGCGGGGAUUGCAUUCCCGCCUUCGGUAUACCUCAAACUAGAACUGCAACGGACAAAGGGAAUCCGACUGUUUAAUUAAAACAAAGCAUUGCGAAGGCCGUGGCCGGUGUUUACGCAAUGUGAUUUCUGCUCAGUGCUCUGAAUGUCAAAGUGAAGAGAUUCAAAUAAGCGCGGGUAAACAGCGGGAGUAACUAUGACUCUCUUAAGGUAGCCAAAUGCCUCGUCAUCUAAUUAGUGACGCGCAUGAAUGGAUUAACGAGAUUCCUACUGUCCCUAUCUGCUUCUAGCGAAACCACAGCCGAGGGAACGGGCUCGGCGAAAUCGGCGGGGAAAGAAGACCCUGUUGAGCUUGACUCUAUUCUAAUUUUGUGAAGCAAGUUAGGAGGUGUAGUAAUAGGUGGGAGCCUCACGGCGUCCGUGAAAGACCACUACUCUUAAUCUUGCUUUACUUAGGGCGUAAUUCUAUACAUCCGUAAGGUUUGUUUUUUUGAUUCAAGUGUGGGCAAGCAAUUUAUUGUUUUGAUUAUUCCGCGCGAAUAGCGCGCCCAACCACAUUUAGGAGGGGAGUUUGGCUGGGGCGGCACAUCUUCUACAAGACAACGAAGGUGUCCAAAGAUAAGCUCAGUGAGAACAGAAAUCUCACGUAGCGCAAAAGGGUAAAAGCUUGUUUUAUUAUGAUUUUCAGUGUGAGUUGUAAACGCGAAAGCGUGGCCUAUCGAUCCUUUUAUUAUUCGAGAUUUGAAGCAAGAGGUGUCAGAAAAGUUACCACAGGGAUAACUGGCUUGUGGCGGCCAAGCGUUCAUAGCGACGUCGCUUUUUGAUCCU